UACGGAGGGUGCAAGCGUUAUCCGGAGUUACUGGGCGUAAAGGGUGCGUAGGUGGCUUGGUAAGUUCGAUGUGAAAUCUCCGGGCUUAACCCGGAAAUGGCAUUGAAUACUAUUGAGCUGGAGGUUUGGAGGGGGGACUGGAAUUCUCGGUGUAGCAGUGAAAUGCGUAGAUAUCGAGAGGAACACCAGUGGCGAAGGCGGCUUCCUGGUCCAGCACCGACGUUCAGGCACGAAAGCGUGGGGAGCGAACGGG
rnacentral:rRNA from 1 species